GAAUUGUUCGCAAUGGGCGCAAGCCUGACGACGCAACGCCGCGUGGAGGAUGAAGAAUUUCGGUUCGUAAACUCCUUUCGAUCGGGACGAAUCGGUCACGGCCUAAUACGCCGUGGCACUGACGGUACCGAGAGAAGACGCCCCGGCUAACUCCGUGCCAGCAGCCGCGGUAAUACGGGGGGGGCAAGCGUUGUUCGGAAUUACUGGGCGUAAAGGGCGCGUAGGCGGCCUGCUAAGUCGGACGUGAAAUCCCUCGGCUCAACCGAGGAACUGCGUCCGAUACUGGUGGGCUUGAAUCCGGGAGAGGGAUGUGGAAUUCCAGGUGUAGCGGUGAAAUGCGUAGAUAUCUGGAGGAACACCGGUGGCGAAGGCGGCAUCCUGGACCGGCAUUGACGCUGAGGCGCGAAAGCUAGGGGAGCAAAC
rnacentral:rRNA from 1 species